UACAGAGGGUGCGAGCGUUAAUCGGAAUUACUGGGCGUAAAGCGUGCGUAGACGGCUAUCUAAGUCGGGUGUGAAAGCCCCGGGCUCAACCUGGGAAUUGCAUUCGAGACUGAAUAGCUAGGGUACGGUAGAGGGAAGUGGAAUUUCCGGUGUAGCGGUGAAAUGCGUAGAUAUCGGAAGGAACAUCAGUGGCGAAAGCGACUCCUGGACCAAUACUGACGCUCAUGUGCGAAAGCGUGGGGAGCAAACAGGG
rnacentral:rRNA from 1 species